rnacentral:rRNA from 1 species
UACAGAGGUCUCAAGCGUUGUUCGGAAUCACUGGGCGUAAAGGGUGCGUAGGCGGCGGGGAAAGUCAGAUGUGAAAUCCGGAGGCUCAACCUCCGAAUUGCAUCCGAUACUCCCUCGCUAGAGAUUUGUAGAGGAGUCUGGAAUUCUCGGUGUAGCAGUGAAAUGCGUAGAUAUCGAGAAGAACGCUCGCAGCGAAGGCGAGACUCUGGGCAAAUUCUGACGCUGAUGCACGAAGGCUAGGGGAGCAAACGGG